GUUAGCGGCGCGCCUAACACAUGCAAGUCGCACGAGAAAGGGCUUCGGCCCCGGUACAGUGGCGCACGGGUGAGUAACACGUGGGUAAUGUUCCCUCAGGCGGGGGAUAACCUUCCGAAAGGAGGGCUAAUACCGCAUAAGACCACGGCCUCGAAAGGGGCUGAGGUAAAAGCAGGCCUCUACUUGUAAGCUUGCACCAGAGGAUCAGCCCGCGGCCCAUCAGCUAGUUGGUAGGGUAACGGCCUACCAAGGCUAAGACGGGUAGCUGGUCUGAGAGGAUGAUCAGCCACACUGGAACUGAGACACGGUCCAGACUCCUACGGGAGGCAGCAGUGGGGAAUCUUGCGCAAUGGACGAAAGUCUGACGCAGCGACGCCGCGUGGGUGAUGAAGGCCCUCGGGUUGUAAAGCCCUGUGGGGAGAGACGAAUAAGUCGGAGCCAAUACCUCCGGCGAUGACGGUAUCUCCUUAGCAAGCACCGGCUAACUCUGUGCCAGCAGCCGCGGUAAGACAGAGGGUGCAAACGUUGUUCGGAAUUACUGGGCGUAAAGCGUGUGUAGGCGGCCGUGCAAGUCGGAUGUGAAAUCCCCGGGCUCAACCC
rnacentral:rRNA from 1 species